AGUGAACGCUGGCGGUAGGCCUAACACAUGCAAGUCGAACGGCAGCACAGGAGAGCUUGCUCUCUGGGUGGCGAGUGGCGGACGGGUGAGGAAUACAUCGGACUCUACUCUGUCGUGGGGGAUAACGUAGGGAAACUUACGCUAAUACCGCAUACGACCUACGGGUGAAAGCAGGGGAUCUUCGGACCUUGCGCGAUUGAAUGAGCCGAUGUCGGAUUAGCUAGUUGGCGGGGUAAAGGCCCACCAAGGCGACGAUCCGUAGCUGGUCUGGGAGGAUGAGCAGCCACACUGGAACUGAGACACGGUCCAGACUCCUACGGGAGGCAGCAGUGGGGAAUAUUGGACAAUGGGCGCAAGCCUGAUCCAGCCAUACCGCGUGGGUGAAGAAGGCCUUCGGGUUGUAAAGCCCUUUUGUUGGGAAAGAAAUCCAGCUGGCUAAUACCCGGUUGGGAUGACGGUACCCAAAGAAUAAGCACCGGCUAACUUCGUGCCAGCCGCCGCCGUAA
rnacentral:rRNA from 1 species